rnacentral:rRNA from 1 species
GACGAACGCUGGCGGCGUGCCUAAUACAUGCAAGUCGAGCGAGCGGAACUAACAGAUUUACUUCGGUAAUGACGUUAGGAAAGCGAGCGGCGGAUGGGUGAGUAACACGUGGGGAACCUGCCCCAUAGUCUGGGAUACCACUUGGAAACAGGUGCUAAUACCGGAUAAGAAAGCAGAUCGCAUGGUCAGCUUUUAAAAGGCGGCGUAAGCUGUCGCUAUGGGAUGGCCCCGCGGUGCAUUAGCUAGUUGGUAAGGUAAAGGCUUACCAAGGCGAUGAUGCAUAGCCGAGUUGAGAGACUGAUCGGCCACAUUGGGACUGAGACACGGCCCAAACUCCUACGGGAGGCAGCAGUAGGGAAUCUUCCACAAUGGACGCAAGUCUGAUGGAGCAACGCCGCGUGAGUGAAGAAGGUUUUCGGAUCGUAAAGCUCUGUUGUUGGUGAAGAAGGAUAGAGGUAGUAACUGGCCUUUAUUUGACGGUAAUCAACCAGAAAGUCACGGCUAACUACGUG